CGGUGGUGAGCGGCGAACGGGUGAGUAACACGUAGGUGAUCUGCCCAUCAGACGGGGACAACGAUUGGAAACGAUCGCUAAUACCGGAUAGGACGAAAGUUUAAAGGUGCUUCUGGCACCGCUGAUGGAUGAGCCUGCGGCGCAUUAGCUAGUUGGUAGGGUAAAGGCCUACCAAGGCGACGAUGCGUAGCCGACCUGAGAGGGUGAACGGCCACAUUGGAACUGAGACACGGUCCAAACUCCUACGGGAGGCAGCAUG
rnacentral:rRNA from 1 species